rnacentral:rRNA from 1 species
UGGGAUUAGAUACCCCACUAUUCUAAAAUAUAAAACUCCUUUGGGGCAGUAAAACUUACUAAGGUUUAAACCUAAAUAAUAUGGCGGCUAUUUAAAUUCAUUAGGGGAACUUACCACAUAAUUGAUAACCACCAAGUGGUCUUACUUAAAUUAAUAAAAUAAAUAGUAUGUAUACCGUCGUUGUCAAGACCCCUCUUAGAGGGAUUUUUAAUAUUAAAAAUAAAAAGACAGAUCAAGGUGCAGCUUAUAUUUAAGAGUUAAGGUGAGUUACAAUAAAGACUUUUUAAUAACGGAAUUAAAAAUUAAAAAUUGUAUAAAGAUGGACUUAAAAGUAAUAUAUAAGGAUAAUUAAAAUAUGAACAUGUUUUAUUUGGUGUACAAAUCGCCCGUCACUCU